AGUGGGAUAGCUGGGUCAAAUGGUGGUUCCAUUACAAGUUUUCAGAGGAUUCUCCAUACUGCUUUCCAUGGUUGUACCAAUUUGCAGUCCCACCAGCAAU
rnacentral:pre_miRNA from 1 species